CUCAUGCCGACAAGGAGAUACAAGUUAGAUGGGUAAUUUGCGUCUGAGGCGUUUCUGUGAUGUCAGAUGUCACUCUUUUAGCCUUGGAGAUCUGAUGCAUUCU
rfam:Triticum urartu cultivar G1812 contig79596, whole genome shotgun sequence.